rnacentral:piRNA from 6 species
UCGUACGUAGCAGAGCAGCUCCCUCGCU